GCCACCUUUCCAGUGUUUUUGGCAGUCUGUAAGCAGUCCCUUGUGAUUCUCUUGCCCUUUUGGUCACAAGUUUUGCUGGGUGCCUCCUAUGAGCAAAAGUACUUUCCACCACUUGGUCUAAGUAUCAGAGGCCUCUCAGCUGGCUGCAGCUCCCUGGUAUUGAUUUGGGAAACACUGUGAUAAACAUUUUGUCUUACAGAAAGGGAGCAGCUUGUCAAUUAUUUGCCUCAUAUGUGAGACAGAUAAAGCUUACUCUGUGCACAGGCUUCUGAGUUGGAUUUUAACUGCUUUACAGGCAUUAAAUUGGUAUUUGCAUGGCAAGUAUUUAAACUAGGAAUUAAGAUGUGUAUUUGAGCAGACACAUAGCUGUGUGUCUGGGCUUUUCAGGUGGGAUGUACUCCGAGGGUGAAUUCAGAGCCCACUCUUUAAUAGAGUGCCAGAUUUUACUGACCUGUGUGAGAUUUCACCUUGUUUUUCUUUUAAAGCCGCUGUUAUUUUGUUAUGGCUACUCCCCCACAAAACCCUGUAUAGUAAUGCAUGAGUGUGCUUUAAACUCAGUAUUUCUCUCUUAUUUGAAAUUCUUUUGUACUUUUCUCUGUAUUUUUGAAGGGGGUUUGCAUUAGGCAAGGCUUCAGGACCUCUUGGUGUAGCAGAUUUGAGCAUUAACUGUGCACUUUACCCCUUGAAUGGAUUUUAUUCUCUCUGUUCUUGAGUGGCAGAAGGGAACAGGCAUUUGUGCCCUGGCUGUUUUGAUUCACACUCUGGUAUUAUUGAUAAAUUGAGCCAGCAAAAUACACACAGAUUGGCAGAUUGGAGGUGCCAGGUUUGUGUCCUUUCAGGAUCAGAACAAGUUACUGCACUUAAAGCUGCUGAAGGGAAAAGUAAUGCCAUGUGAUAGACAAGGCACUUGCUCUAAAACAUUGUUGGUUUUUUUUUUUUUGGUUCCAAAAUAUCCUGGACAGCAGUGCUCCUAAAUGUUUUUGGCAUCUCAGCGUUGCCAAUGGCAGCCAGCCUGGAAUUAGCCAGCAAUUAACACUCCCUGGGGAUUUGCUAAUAGCUGGAAGGGGUGGGUGAAAAGGGAUGCUGAGCAGGGUGGUCGGAGGGUGAGUGUCCUUCGCUGUGAUCAGGCUGAGAGAGCAGCCACCAGGAAAUCAGGCAUUUUCCCCCUGCCUGGUGAUAAAACCGAAGUGUCCUUAAGUGCUGCAAUUUCCUUAGAGCCUUGGCUUUAUUUUUCUUCCCGUGGUGGUGGCGGCUGGCUGUAGUUUCAGCCUGAUAUUGGAAGGUCUUUAAGAAAACCAGUGUUUCAUGGGAAAUCCCCCUUGUGACUUCCUUCUGAAAUAAGAGCAGCAACGAUAAUAAAAAAUAAAACAUUUUAUUUCUCUUACGUUUCAUUUACUGGUAUUUUGCCCAAACUAAGUUUUUUUUUGUCGGUGCUCUGGGCAAAAGCAAUGAUGCCAAUAAACAAUAUCACAUUUUCUCUGCUCCGGGAGUGUUCCAGGAGGCUGCUGUUGCUGACAUUUUCAUUCCUCAGUGGGGCUCACGGCACGUGUGUGACCUGAGAACAUCCUGCCGUGCCUUCAAAGGAUGAUCUUCCACAUCCCUCUCUGUGUGAAGGUGGGAUCUCCUCUCCUGCCUUGCCAGACAUCAGGUUAAUAAGAGGACCGAACUAAAGAUCCUCCUCGGAGGUGACUUGCUCUCCUCCUCCUCUCCCGACAGGGAGAAGGUUAACGAGCUCCUGUUGUAACCUCAGAAAGACUCUCAAAACCUUCCAAAGCUGUGGGGAAGGGCUGCAACUCAGAGCCAGACAUCCUGAGUGAAGUAAAUGCUCUCAAAACACUUGAGGGAGGAAAGGUUUGGGGUGGGGAUGGACAGCUUGGCUUUUAAGGCUUGGACUUUCUUCUUGGCUCCCCAAAGUCUCCCUGAAGCUCAGGUACAGAGCAGCUGCUCUGCCAGGUCUGUGGAUCCUGUUGGCAGCAAGUGCUUCUGUUAAAUUCCUUAUUUCACCUCUGACUCCACACAGGGGGAUUUGGGGCUCAUUUACCCUUUUUGGCAGCUUGUGUUAAAUCCCCUCCUGGUCCCGGUGCUGACUGUGGUGCUCCUGACUCUGCAGCCUCGUGUUUGCCUCUCACAAAUCCACUUCAGAGGAGCUGAAAGUGCCUGGAGAGAGUUUUAAGCCUGGCUACUGCAGAGUGCAGAGCUCCUCAGUUUCCUUUUUAAAGGCAGUGAAAGCUGCCAUUGUGUUAAAAUCAAGAGGGAUGUGAAUCUCCAAGUCUCGGUAAAUUAUUCUUGUCACUCAGUGUCUCCUCCUGCAUUUGGAUUUCUCUGAAGCUUAUUAAAACAUGUCUGAAAAAUAAGAAGGGGAAGCAGCACCUCGGGUCACAGUAAAUGAUGUUGUUUAUAGUUUGCCUGCACCAGGAAAGACAGUAAAUUAAUUUGAGCUCCUCACAUCAGGGAGACUUCAGAUGACAGUGAAUCUCUGUGGGGACACCAUGUGCAACCUGAUUUCUAGCUUUUAUCUAAUUUUGAAAAGAAGGAGUGGAAAUGGGUGAUCUAUCUCCAUAAAUUAGGACCUGGACAGACAAAUCACCUUGGUCUGGAGAAGGAAAGAAUGGUGUUUGUGGUGUGGAAGAAACGAGUUGUGUUCUUGUCUGACACAAACCUUAUGUGACCUUUCACAAAGCACUAAAUUAGCCCAUCUUUUGUCUUCCCCUGUUUUAUAGCAGCUCUAAAAUGCUCAUAAAGUGUAUUUUUUCUUUUUUUUUUGCUAGUUUAACUUCAAUUGAAGUGUUUGUGGUUUUCCAGAGCAGAUCAGAUUGUGUGGCAUUGCCCUUCUUACCGUUCCCACUCACUCACGGUGUCAUCCCAUCCCAGGACAGCAUUCCAUAGGGCCAGCAAGUUCCCAUCAGUGGGAUGGGGUGGGUGCAGUUACCUGAGUGUCUUCCAGGCCCAAAGGUAGGAUCCUGCCAACACCUGAAAAGUUAUGAUUGGUUUUUAGUCUAAACAUGGCCCAUGGAAACCACACAGAGAAAAGACACAGAGAGUAGGCACAAAAAAUAUCUGUGACUUGUCUAAAACCCACUGGUAUUUUGGAGUCUGCAGGUGUCACCAGAACACUUUGUAUAAUGGAAAACUCUUCUUUUUACAGAUUAUUUUGUGAAGUAAAUGAAGGACUCUGUAUUUUCUUCCUUCAGUGUGCAGACAGAGCAUUCCUUCUGCCAGUCCUUCUCCUGGCUUUGCGUGACCAACCUGAUCUCCACCUUUCAACCUUCCUUCUGGAAUUCUGAAAACUUUCCUGAGAAAAUGACUGUUAGUCUUUGUAACCUUUUUUAUUCCCUGGAAGAGAGUCUUAAAUUGAGACUGAGUAAAGAAAGAUGUUCAUAAACCCUUGUCUUGGAAAGAAGAAGAAUCGUGUGCUGCAAUCCUUGAAAAUUGCUGUAUUACAGAGGACAAACCCUGGUUUAUUUUAUUUGUUGAUGAUACGUGUUUCUAGGGUUUUAUUGCCUGGUUCAGACUCAUUAAAGCAUCUUUUGGAGGAGUCCCUUUUAAGAAGGGAGCAGGAGGGAUGGAGAACAAAAGGCCCCCCCUGCCUCAAGGUGCUCUCUGACUCAAAGUGCAAUUACUCAUGUUAAAUCCUAACUCUCCAACAUUUAUCUUGAAAAAUGUCCCAUAUUUUUCUAAAAUGAUUAGAUUGACCAAAGAAAUGGAGACCUAUUUUAUGUGAUGAUACCUCGUGAAAUUAAGGUUGACAGGCGAUAGACUUUCUCUUGAGAGGCACUUGAGAGAGAAAAGUAAUCAAUGGAGAAAGUUAUAGGGAAAUGUUAGCAUAAGAAUGAGUGGUUUCAAAUAGUCUGCUCAUAAAUUCAGGCUGGACUUCAGAAGUUUGCUCACAGAUAGAGGAAAUGAGGUUCUGGAAUGACUUUCCAAUAAUAAUGGAAAAAGCAAUCAAGCGAGUUGUGAGAGACGAAAUAAGUUUUCUGCUAUAAAACUUCUCAUCUCACUCAUUCCCUGGGAAGUUCCUCACAGGCCUGUGUUCCUGCCCUAAUGGAAAUUCCCCAGGGGACAGGGCUGGCAGCGUGGCAUCCUCCAAAGCCUCCUCUAUUGGGAAUUUUCAGAAGGAAGAGAAAGAAACUUCUCCCAAGCUUUUAGGAACCUUUAUGGGUAAACAGAGGGUUGGGGUGACUCCUGGCUGGCUGCCAGAUGCCCACCCAGCUGUUCCCUCACACCCCUUUCCCCAGCAAAUCCCAUUAUUCAUGUGCUGGUGGAAAAGUUUAGGGGGAAUUUGUUGGUUCUUCUGCCAUUGAGCCUUGAAGUGUGGAAAAAAUCCCUUUAUUUUUGAGGCUUUCUGACUUCACAGUCGGCAUCACUAAAGACCUCCGAGAGAUGUAAACAGCCACAUUCCCAUUUUACACAUAAAAAUAAACCUUGCUGGCUUGCUUGGAACUAAUUUUCUAAUUAAUGGCCCCCUGAUUUUGUUUUUUUCCUCAGAAGUUUGUUAUUCCUGUGGCUAACAGUCCUUUUGUUGUUGUUAGGCUCGUUUGGGUUAUUUGUCCCCGGUGAGUGCCUCUUUUGAUUUAACUUUAGGCACUUGGGCAGAACAAUAUAGAGAGGAGAAAUGAAAGUGCACAGAAAAUACUCAUUAAAAAUAUAAGUCCUUGCCUUACUUGCCAGGUGCAAGAUUGCUUUUCUUUAGAUUCUUUUCUCACAGCCUAUUAACAGCCCCUUGUCUUUUUCUUUUUUUUUUUUUUUCCUAACCUUAUAUUUCUUUCCCAAAAUGUGUUUAACAAGUGAAAACAUUCUCCUUUAAAGGUCACACCGCUCUCAGAUUGACUUGACUGUUGAUUGCACUUGAGCUCCUUGCUUUAAUUCAUGUUAACCCCAUUUGUUUUUAAUUAAGCAAUGUCUUUUAAGCAGAGAUAGUCCAUCACUGCUGGCAACAGGUGAGUUUUGCUUUUUAAUAUUCAGCCUUAUAUUUUAGUUUAACAGAGAGGAGGCUUUGAGGGUGAUUUACUCAGACUAGAGAUUUUUCUAAGCAGGAAUGCAAAUUGUCUCACAGUUUUGCAAAUGUCCAAUUUAACUUAAUAGCUUUCAAAGUGAAUUGGAAUAGGAACAACUCACCUGGACACAGACCCAACUGCAUAUUAACAUAUAUUAGCUUGGGAUCAAGGGGGUACCAGGUGGUAUUUAUGUUUAUUAACACUGACUCUGUCCAAAAGUAACCCUUUCAGAACCAAUGGGCUGAUUCCUUUCUCCUUUCCCCUUUCCCAAGCCUUCCCCUUUCCCUCUCUCUUCUCUCCCCCUCUGUCUCCUGUUCCCCUCCUUGUCCCUAAUAUUCACAAAAUAAUGGUUUGGGUUUGACAAACCAAAUACAAAUUUUGAUAUCUGGGUUAUAGUGCUUAAAAAAAAAUGGAAAACAAACAAAAAAUCCCAAAGGAAAGGGCCACAGAUUUUCAGGGUAAACUCUGGCACUGCUUUUUUCCAUCAGCUUUCUUAAUUUUUCUUGUUUUCUGAAGUGCAUCAAAGAGGAGAACACAGAGAAAGUUGUCUGUAUUGUUUGUUUCUUGUCUGUGUUAAUCAUUUAAUGCUGAUUACUUGCUUAGAGCACAAUUUCUGUGCAAAGAAACCAACCAAGGAAAUGUAAUCCUGUCUAAAAUUUGCAAGUGAAAGGGCAAUGAGGGUCUUAGAAAGCAUUAAAGCCUUUCAGAUGAUAUUUGGCAGCUGAAGGCACGAGAAUUCUUAAAUCUUUCUCAGUUUGUAGUGAUUAGUAAAUAUUACACGUGACUUUCUAGGAGUUUUGCUUUUCCUUUUAUGCCAUCUCUGUCUUCUGACAGCAGAACUGGAAAUUCUGGCAGCUGUGACUGGAAUGUUAAGAACUGAACGAGGUGUUUUUAGAAAGUAGGAUUCAUUAGCUGGUUUUGCUUGAGUUGUGUAAUAUCAUCAUUAUUAUAGAUAUACUUAGAGAAUUAAUUUGCUUUGCUUUUACAAGACAGAACAGAAUUUCUUACAUAUUUAUUUCUUGGUGAUUAAGCAACAGUAAACCCUUUACUUCUAAGCAGGAGAUUUUUCUCAAAACACCAAAAUUUUUUUUAUUUCAUGUAUUUAGUCCUUCUCCUCCCACCUUGCUGGAGUUUUUGAUAAUAGAUUCUUGGCUUUUUCUGCUGCUUCUUGGAUAAAGUAAUGAAAAGGAAGCCAACAAUGGUAAUCAAACUGCAUUAUAGCAAAGCUCUGCCUUUCAGCUCCCAAUUGCUGCAGAAAUUGGGCCCAAUUCAUUCCAUGUAAAUGAAAUUUCCUUCCUCUUUUCACAAACAUGUUCCCCAAAUACUGUGUAUUUCUUCUCAUUAAUUCAGGGAAAAGCUCAACCUUGAAACUCAGCAAUUGUUAGGAGUUCUCUGGGCUGCAGAAGAUGGCAAAACUAGCUGAGGACACCAAUAAAUACAAUAGCCACACACAUCUUGCUGCUCCUCCUUCUAAUUUCACUGCCAACAAGGAGCAGACAAAGUGAACAAUAAAGGGACUUGUUAGAGCUGUUAGGAAAAAAAUAUCCAAAAAUGCAGUGCACAUGCUUUUUACUAUGUGAUCAAAAUGGUUUUCUCUUUUUUACCUGACAGGUUUCUUGAUGUUUUCUUUAUUCCAUGUUCUUUUUUGGGCAGGAGAAAUUCAUAGCCAAGUCCUGUCUGCUUACACAAAGGCUCCAUUGCUCCUAACUUUGUGAUGAAUGGCCAGCUCGAGCGUGAGAGAGAAAACCUCAUUUUUAUCCAGAAAUCUGUGCUCCUGCCAACAAUAUUCAUUCUCUUUGUGCAAGAAAUAAACCAGUUUUCU